rnacentral:tRNA from 1 species
UGAGGUGUAGCCCAAAGGUAGAGUGCAUGCUUAGCAUGCACGAGGCCCUGGGCUCAACCCCAGCACCCAAA